rnacentral:rRNA from 1 species
UGGGUAACCUGCCUCAAAGAGGGGAAUAGCCUCCCGAAAGGGAGAUUAAUACCGCAUAAUAUGUUUUAAUCGCAUGAUUUUAACAUCAAAGGAUUUUCUUAGGAAAUUCCACUUUGAGAUGGACCCGCGGCGCAUUAGCUAGUUGGUGAGGUAACGGCUCACCAAGGCAACGAUGCGUUGCCGACCUGAGAGGGUGAUCGGCCACAUUGGAACUGAGACACGGUCCAGACUCCGUAGGGACGG